rnacentral:rRNA from 1 species
GAAUAGUGGAAGACGGAAAUGUAGGAAAUACGUAUGUGUCAAGCUGAGGGCUGGAGUAGUGGUAGUGAAGCUGGGGCAUGGAGUCAUGUAAGUCUAAUGGUAAAGCCCACGUCUCAACCGGGGAAGGUGAAUGGAAACUAUGGUACUUGAGUUCAGAAGACAAAAGCGGAAUGCCACGUGGAGCGGUGAAAUGCGUAGAGAUGGGGAGGAACGCCAGUGGCGGAGGCGGCUUUCUGGUCUGUAACGGACGCUGAGGCGCGAAAGCGUGGGGAGCAAACAGGAAUAGAUACCCAGGUAGUC